rnacentral:rRNA from 1 species
UACGUAGGGUGCGAGCGUUGUCCGGAAUUAUUGGGCGUAAAGGGCUCGUAGGCGGUCUGUCACGUCGGGAGUGAAAACACGGGGCUUAACCCCGUGCCUGCUUCCGAUACGGGCAGACUAGAGGUAUGCAGGGGAGAACGGAAUUCCUGGUGUAGCGGUGGAAUGCGCAGAUAUCAGGAGGAACACCGGUGGCGAAGGCGGGUCUCUGGGCAGUAACUGACGCUGAGGAGCGAAAGCGUGGGGAGCGAACAGG